CCUACGGGAGGCUGCAGUGGGGAAUAUUGCACAAUGGGGGAAACCCUGAUGCAGCAACGCCGCGUGAAGGAAGACGGUUUUCGGAUUGUAAACUUCUAUCAAUAGGGAAGAAAGAAAUGACGGUACCUAACUAAGAAGCCCCGGCUAACUCCGUGCCAGCCGCCGCGGUAAUCCGUAGGGGGCAAGCGUUAUCCGGAAUUACUGGGUGUAAAGGGAGAGUAGGCGGCAAGGUAAGCGAUAUGUGAAAGCCUUAAGAUUAACUAAAGGAUUGCAUAACGAACUAUCUAGCUAGAGUACAGGGGAGGAAAGCGGAAGUCCCAGUGUAGCGGUGAAAUGCGUAGAUAUUAGGAAGAACACCAGUGGCGAAGGCGGCUUUCUGGACUGAAACUGACGCUGAGGCUCGAAAGCGUGGGGAGCGAACAGGAUUAGAUACACGAGUAGUC
rnacentral:rRNA from 1 species